AGAGUUUGAUCCUGGCUCAGGGUGAACGCUGGCGGCGUGCUUAACAUAUGCAAGUCGAACGAUCCUUCGGGAUAGUGUCGGACGGGUGAGUAACGCGUGGGAAUCUGCCCUCAGGAGGGGGAUAACGGCUGGAAACGGCCGCUAAUACCCCAUAUGCCGAGAGGUGAAAUGAAUUUCGCCUGAGGAUGAGCCCGCGUCUGAUUAGCUAGUUGGUGGGGUAAAGGCCUACCAAGGCGACGAUCAGUAGCUGGUCUGAGAGGAUGAUCAGCCACACUGGGACUGAGACACGGCCCAGACUCCUACGGGAGGCAGCAGUGGGGAAUUUUCCGCAAUGGGCGAAAGCCUGACGGAGCAACGCCGCGUGAGGGAUGAAGGCCUCUGGGCUGUAAACCUCUUUUCUCAAGGAAGAAGAACUGACGGUACUUGAGGAAUAAGCCACGGCUAAUUCCGUGCCAGCAGCCGCGGUAAUACGGGAGUGGCAAGCGUUAUCCGGAAUUAUUGGGCGUAAAGCGUCCGCAGGCGGCCUUGUAAGUCUGUUGUUAAAGCGUGGAGCUCAACUCCAUUUAAGCAAUGGAAACUACAAGGCUGGAGUGUGGUAGGGGCAGAGGGAAUUCCCGGUGUAGCGGUGAAAUGCGUAGAUAUCGGGAAGAACACCAGUGGCGAAGGCGCUCUGCUGGGCCAUAACUGACGCUCAUGGACGAAAGCCAGGGGAGCGAAAGGGAUUAGAUACCCCUGUAGUCCUGGCCGUAAACGAUGAACACUAGGUGUCGGGGGAAUCGACCCCCUCGGUGUCGUAGCCAACGCGUUAAGUGUUCCGCCUGGGGAGUACGCACGCAAGUGUGAAACUCAAAGGAAUUGACGGGGGCCCGCACAAGCGGUGGAGUAUGUGGUUUAAUUCGAUGCAACGCGAAGAACCUUACCAGGGUUUGACAUCCUGCGAAUCCCUUGGAAACGAGGGAGUGCCUUCGGGAGCGCAGUGACAGGUGGUGCAUGGCUGUCGUCAGCUCGUGUCGUGAGAUGUUGGGUUAAGUCCCGCAACGAGCGCAACCCACGUCUUUAGUUGCCAGCAUUCAGUUGGGCACUCUAGAGAGACCGCCGGUGAUAAACCGGAGGAAGGUGUGGAUGACGUCAAGUCAUCAUGCCCCUUACAUCCUGGGCUACACACGUACUACAAUGCUACGGACAAAGGGCAGCAAGCUCGCGAGAGUUAGCAAAUCCCAUAAACCGUGGCUCAGUUCAGAUCGUAGGCUGCAACUCGCCUACGUGAAGGAGGAAUCGCUAGUAAUCGCAGGUCAGCAUACUGCGGUGAAUACGUUCCCGGGCCUUGUACACACCGCCCGUCACACCAUGGAAGUUGGCCAUGCCCGAAGUCGUUACUCCAACCCUUGUGGAGGAGGACGCCGAAGGUGGGGCUGAUGACUG
rnacentral:rRNA from 1 species